GCGCCCGUUGGAUUACGGAGUUCACCACCCGUUUCGAUCGUGUCGACGAUGGCCUGGUGUUCCAUGCCGCCGACGGCCGCA
rnacentral:tRNA from 1 species